UACAGAGACCUCAAGCGUUAUCCGGAAUCAUUGGGCGUAAAGCGUACCGAUAGGUGGUUUUGCAAGUCAGAGGUGAAAUCUCCGAGCUCAACUCGGAAUCUGUCCUUUGAAACUGCACAACUAGAGGGGCAAAGAGGAAGCUGGAACGAACGGUGUAGUAGUGAAAUGCGUUGAUAUCGUUCGGAACACCAAUAGCGUAGGCAGGCUUCUGGGUGCCACCUGACACUGCUAGGACGAAAGCGUGGGGAGCGAAUGGG
rnacentral:rRNA from 1 species